rnacentral:tRNA from 1 species
ACCUGGCUGGCUCAGUUGGUAGAGCAGGAGACUCUUGAUUUCAGGGUCGUGAGUUUGAGCUCUGCGUUGGGUG